rnacentral:lncRNA from 1 species
ACAAAUUGGUCAUGGAAGGAAUUUUAUCAAAUUAAAACUAUUCAUUCAUUUUGGGAGAUGAAAUUUACAUUUCAUCAAUCCCCUAAAUCCAAUGAUUUUAACCAAACAAAAGUCAAAUCAACUUUGACCAAGACCAAAACAAAUAGUCAAACAUCACAAGACAAUAAAAAUGGCUCAAUAUAAUUUUUACACAAUUAAUCAAUUAAAAAUCAAAUUAAAAAUACACUAAAAUUCAAAUUAAUUUGG